rnacentral:lncRNA from 1 species
AGGAGGAGGAGGAGAAGGAGGAGGAGGAUAAAUGGGGGACCAGGGAAGUGACUUAGUGGUUAAAGCCCUGUCCUGCAGGUAUGAAGACUACAGUGUUGAUUCCAAGAAUCUGUCUAAAUGUUGGGUGGGCAUGGCAGCCAAACUGUUAUUCCAGAUUCUGAAGGCAGAGUCAUGGGAUCCCAGAGCAAACUGCUCCUGAGACUAGCCAUAUUGAUGAACUCUGGGUUUGAUUGAGAAACCCUGCCUCAAUGCUUAAGGUAGAGAUGUUUCCUGACGUCGACCUGAAGCUUUCAUAUACACAUGUACACACACACACUCACAUGUGCACAUGUACACUCACAUGUGGAUACCCCCACACAUGUAGAGUGUGCAAGCAUGAAAUGAAAAGUAAGGUUUUUUUUUUUUAAAGAUGGCGGUCAUGUUGCAGGCUUCUGGAGUAUCCCUUGCAUUAGGCAGUCUGCUCCCAGAGGACGUGGUGUAGGAGCAAAGCCUUAGUUGCUCAAAAUAUGGACCUGUCCACAAGAGGCUUCGGUGACCUCACACUGUGGCAACUAGCUUCCCCUAGACCAAGUGACUCAGGAGGGCAAGGUGAGACCACAGAUCCUCUGGUGAUGUAGCUCAGUUGGUAGAGUUCUUGCCAAGCAUGCGUGAGUCCCCAGUACCUUAUAAAACCACCCGUGGUGGCUCAGGCUCACCUGUGACUUAGGUAGAGAAAGAAGAAUCAGAAGUUCAGAGUCAUUCCCUGUUAACGUUGUAAGUAACGGACUACAUGAGUCAGACAAAUUAAUUAGUUAAUUCACUAAUCUAGGGCCUUAUUGCUGUUUUGUUUUGUUUGAAGCAGGGUAUGUAGCCAUGGCUGUUCUGGAACUCACUGUGUAGACCAGGCUGGCCUUGAACUCAGAUCCGCUUGCCUCCCAAGUGAUGGGAUUAGGCGCGUGCUACCACAGCCCUCUUUAAGACCUUUAAGGCUUUAAAACCUUGUGCUUCAGCCCGUGUCUCUCGGUUUCUGCAUCUGUAGUGUGUAGCUGGAUAACACACAUAACAGCUGUGUGACAGCCUCAUCAGUGCCCGGCACGUAGGAGACCGAGGCUGCAUCUCUGCCACUGUUAAAGAGUCACGCUCGGCUUUGUGUCUUCAAGAUCUUUGCAUCAGUUUGACCAACCUCUGAGGCUGAGAGGAGAGAAGCUGAUGCCAAGUCCAGGCUUCCAACCUUCGUCAUAUGUAGCAAUUUGGAUGAAGGGGGAGGGGGGGCUAGAGAGAUAACUAGGCAGUUAAAAACAGGGACUAACUGCCCUUGCAGAAGACCCAAGUUCAGCUCCCAGCAUCCUCUUCUUUGGCUGUCUCACCACCUCCUAUAACUCCCAAUUCCAGAGGAUCUGAUACCCUCUUCUGGACUCUGCAGGUACCUGUACUCACAUGCACAAAUAAUCCCCCAGCCCCCUAU